AAUACAACAAACGUAUAGUUUUUAUUGACACAACAUAAUUUCUGUAGAAUUAUUGAAAACAUAGCCGAUAUGUGCUGGUGGCCAGAAAGCCUACUUCUAAUUUUAGUUGUCUUUCAAUUAUUUAAUUGCACUUAACUUGAAGAAUGUGUACAAUACCCAUUAGAUGGAUUAAGAAUGUAGUUCAGGUAAAACUUUGAAAUGUUAACGUGAGCAAGGAGUUUGGCAGAAUAAAUCUGAAUGUAAUAUUCAGAAAAUUGUAAACGUCAGACAUGGAUGAUUUGAAUGUCACAUUUCCUUAGACCAAAGGAGCCCGCUUCAAAGAUUACUGUACCGAGAACAAGCCACACCCAUCCGCUGGCGAAAUGCCUUGUUUUUAGACACUUCAGUUCCUGUUAGUAACAGUACAGCCACGACCGGAAGGGAGUGACAAACGUCGACGUACGUGCUAGCUAACAGAAUUGCUGUCGAGUCGAGGAAGGUGUACAGACCAUUUCAACAAUACGGUGGAUAUCCAAGGACACCGAACAGUACAGAGUACAGGA